GCCAGGUGUGGUGGUGCACACCUGUAGUCCCAGCUACUCGGGAGGCUGAGGCAGGAGAAUCGCUUGAACCCAGGAGGCGGAGGUUGCAGUGAGCCGAGAUCGUGCCACUGCACUCCAGCCUGGGUGACAGAGCAAGACUCCGUCUCAA
rnacentral:SRP_RNA from 1 species